UUCAACUACAAAAAUAUUA
rnacentral:tRNA from 1 species